CAGACGCUCAGACCACCAUAACAGCACCUGGUCUGCCGGUCCCUGGGUGGGGUAUUGCUCUGCUGGUUCUGAUGUCGCUGUUCUUUGCCGCCGUCUUGAUAUGCAUGUGCUGCGCGCCUGUGUGUUGCAGAGGUAAUGGAAUGGAUGCCCAAGGGGGGAUGUCCUCUGUCUUUGACAGACUGGCAUUUUGGAAAUAAAGAACGUCUCCUGGACUUGCAUUGCAUCCUGGCACCUGUCUCAUGCGAAGAUCUUGAAUUGUGUGUUUACAUUGAAUUGUUUGUUUACAUUGAUUUCUUGUCCUCGGUCGUUCUAUAUGUCACACUCUAAUUGAUGCCAUCAGUAGCACAGAGGAUGUAGUUGAUGUGAAUCACUAAGCCUCUCACCUUGCUUUUUUAAUUACAUAUAUCAACACAAACAAAUCUUAUCAUAUUCCAAUAACCUGAUUCAUCAAGCUCUCAUCAAUAUUAAACAAUGCAUUAUUUUUCUUGAAGUGGAUUUAAUGCAUGCCAACAGGGCUAAUCACUAGAUUCUGAAAUUUUGUUAGUUAAAUGAGAGUUGAAAAAUCAAGGUUGGGAUCAUACUUUGAAUUGAAUUUGAUUCUCUACAACUCAGAGUUUAGUGAAAAGCCCUGUAGCAUUCCUAUGUCCCACAUAUCAUGAUUUGAAUUAUGCUUCCAGUAUGUUAAAGGGACAGAAGACUAGGCACCACAAUCACGUUAUCUUACAGAUGUGAUUAUUGUGUUUUUAGAUGGGGCUCUGAAUGAAAAUGGUGUCAAUUCUGCAGUUUUUGCAGUUCACAUGCUUACAUGUGGCAUUGGAUUCAGUGCUCCUGUUAAAAAAAAGUAUUGGAUUGGCAGAGUAUGGCUUGUCACAAGUGCCCUGAGUGCUUCUCUUUGAGAAGCAUUUGAUUGGUCAAAAGUCAUCAGAACUGAUAAUGUAAUUAGAGUUGCAUCGGGCUUAAAUGAGUAGACUAUGACAGAGCUGGGAUAAAAGUGAGAUUAAUUGUCUUUUUAUUUAAUUAAAAAUAAUAAUAACAUACUUUUUUUUUCUCUGCUUUUGUUUUUCUAAUAAACUUUCUUUUCUCAAAAAUGUUGCUGUUUUGGGGCAUUAAAUCAAUAACAUUUUGUAUUUAUUUGAAAUAAUGGAAUUAUAUAUUAAG